GCUCCCAUAGCGCAGUAGUUAGCCCGUUUGGCUGUUAAUCGAAAGGUUAGUGGUCCGAGCUCCACUAGAGAGAAGCU